AUUGGGUUGGCCAAAAAGUUCGUUCGGGUUUUUGUGUAACAUGUUAUGAAAAACCCAAAUGAACUUUCUGGCCAACC
rnacentral:miRNA from 1 species